rnacentral:rRNA from 1 species
GCAUGUGUAAGUAUAAAUAAUUCUACUUUGAAACUGCGAAUGGCUCAUUAUAUCAGUUAUAGUUUAUUAGAAAAAAUGUACUACUUGGAUAACCGUAGUAAUUCUAGGGCUAAUACAUGAGUAAAUCCUCGACUUUGAAGAGGUGUGUUUAUUAGUAUGAAAACCAUAUGCUUUUGCAUAAUAGUGAGUAAUAAUAACCUUUCAUAUCGUAUGUUGUAAUAACGAUAGUUCUUUCAAGUUUCUGCCCUAUCAGCUUUCGAUGGUAGUGCAUUGGACUACCAUGGCAGUAACGGGUAACGAAGAAUUUGGGUUCGAUUUCGGAGAGGGAGCCUGAGAGAUGGCUACCACAUCCAAGGAAGGCAGCAGGCGCGUAAAUUACCCAAUCCUGACAUAGGGAGGUAGUGACAAUAAAUCACAAUGCGGGACUUUUAGUUUUGCAAUUGGAUUGAGAACAAUGUAAAAGAGUUAUCGAUAAACAAUUGGAGGGCAAGUCUGGUGCCAGCAGCCGCGGUAAUUCCAGCUCCAAUAGCGUAUAUUAACGUUGUU